rnacentral:rRNA from 1 species
AGCGUGUGGUUAAUUCGAUGCAACGCGAAGAACCUUACCAGGGUUUGACAUGCUUAAAGUAGGAACUCGAAAGAGGGACGACCUGUAUCCAGUCAGGAGUUUGCACAGGUGCUGCAUGGCUGUCGUCAGCUCGUGUCGUGAGAUGUUGGGUUAAGUCCCGCAACGAGCGCAACCCUUGCCAUUAGUUGCUACGAAAGGGCACUCUAAUGGGACUGCCGGUGACAAACCGGAGGAAGGUGGGGAUGACGUCAAGUCCUCAUGGCCCUUAUAGGUGGGGCUACACACGUCAUACAAUGGCCGGUACAGAGGGUAGCCAACCCGCGAGGGGGAGCCAAUCCCACAAAGCCGGUCGUAGUCCGGAUCGCAGUCUGCAACUCGACUGCGUGAAGUCGGAAUCGCUAGUAAUCGCGGAUCAGCAUGUCGCGGUGAAUACGUUCUCGGGCCUU